GCCGAUACCUGGGAUUUGUUAACGAGUAGUAAACCUUGCAAGGAGAAAAACCGCAGCUUUGCCAGAACUGCUGUCAGAUGGGAAAAAGGACAGUGAGCUUAUAGAAGGCACUGGAAAUAUGGAUGGAG